rnacentral:ncRNA from 1 species
UCGGGAGUGCGACUAAUACAAUACCCGUAAGGGAAAUACGUCCGCUGUCUCUUUGCAGUUUUGAGCUCCUGAUCGCCCAU